UACAGAGGUCUCAAGCGUUGUUCGGAUUCAUUGGGCGUAAAGGGUGCGUAGGUGGCGGGGUAAGUCGGGUGUGAAAUUUCGAGGCUUAACUUCGAAACUGCAUUCGAUACUGCCGUGCUUGAGGACUGGAGAGGAGACUGGAAUUUACGGUGUAGCGGUGAAAUGCGUAGAUAUCGUAAGGAAGACCAGUGGCGAAGGCGGGUCUCUGGACAGUUCCUGACGCUGAGGCACGAAGGCCAGGGGAGCAAACGGG
rnacentral:rRNA from 1 species